UGUUCCGGGCUCUGGGGGUGUUUGGUAAAGAGAUCCGGGUUCUGGCGUCUUUUUCCGGGUUCAAUUCGGCCGUUGUGGGCCUCUGGAGGUGUUUGGGACCGUGUUCCGGGCUCUGGGGGUGUCUGGUAAAGAGAUCCGGGUUCUGGUGUCUUUUUCCGGACUUAAUUCGGCCGUUGUGGGCCCCUGGAGGUGUUUGCGGACCUCCGCGGGUAAAAUAAUAGAAUUAAAAAAGAAUUAAAGUUUCCAGUCGGGACGAUAAGGAGGGCAAAAAAGUUUUUUUCGGACAAUGCAGAGGAAAGCCCUAAAAAAUCCUGGGGAUUUUUGGAUCGCUUCGAUAAUUUUUUUUUUAGCUGACAUCACUGGGCCACCAGGUCGCAGAUUUCAGAAACCUGGUUUUCGGAAACAGAGAUCUCCA
ensembl:lncRNA